UCAAAAGGUUAUCUCAGUUCCAAGUGAAUAUUUUUGUGACACGAUAUACUAAUAAUGCUUGCAAGCGGAUUAUAUUUUUAAGUAUUAAUGGUAAUGUUGUUGAAAAAUACAUUUAAUGCCAGACCGAAUACAUAAAAAUUCAAUAAUGAAUUCACUCAAGUUAGUUAAAGAGAGUGGCUAGGACCUCUUGAUUAGCGACAAAAGAGCGAAAAUUUCAAUUAUUUGGACUACUUACCUACUACAACUGAUACAGGAACCCCAUGGCGCUCUAGUUGUCCCUCUAGGA